AUGGUCUUUUCAGGUUUUGGGAGUUUUUUUCUUACUUUCAAAAGAUGCAAGAUAGAUUUGCCAUGGAAUGACCUAGAGUAUGAUGCAAGCACGCUAAUGUCGUCCGAUGCCUGUGAAACCAGAUAUUUCCUCCUGUGUCCCAUGCUACAGAUGAGAAGACCAAAGGUGAAAGAGAGAACAGCCGAGAGACCAUCCACAGAGAGAGAUGGGCAAUUGUGAGAAGAGGUCGAGAACAGAAUAGGAAAGAAGGAGCGGCAGAGCUGGAGGCCAGCGGAAGGACAGAGGCCGUGAGUAGGAGGUGGACCCACUCAUCCCACACGUAAACUCUUUUCACUGAGGCAGCAGGGAGCAAUCUCUCUGAAAAGCACCUACCACAAGGAAGGCCUGACUCUUCCUGUGCCUUAAAGACAUGAGUGAAACAGAGAUAUUCAGUCUCGAAACAAAAGCAGGCAAAGUGAAGUUGGGAAUAUGACGGGCGUUUGACUGCAAAGGCUCAUGAGCAGGAGAGUGCUGGCUGCCCCCUUGAGUGAGAGCUGCACCAUCAAGUCGCCCAAGCUGCACAUAGUUACUCAAAAGAGUUCCUUCAGGUGAUUAUGAUCAGAGAAAUCUAACUUGAAAUUGAUCUUUGUCAAUCAGUAUCCCAAUAACAUUAUAUAGCUUUGGGCAAAAUCUGAGUCAACUCACUCUGCAAGAAUCCUGAAAUGUGCUAAAGUAAUCCCAUCCUCCUCGCUGGAUGUAGGCUCUUUCUGCAUUACAAAUUGCUCCCACCUGGAAGGGACUAAACAUUUUGUUUUGAGAUUUCAAGAACUUUACUUCUUCUUUUCCUUUUUUAUUACAAAAACUUUUGUUCAAAUGGGAAAAAUCUGGAUCUGUUAUGAGACUCCUUGAGUAAGAUAAACAACUAUUUUACUUAAAAUAUGCUUCCAUGAAAUAGUUUGCUGUAUGUUUGUAGUUUGCUGCCUGUUAGCUUCUGCAGUUUUUGUGUGCCUGGCAGGUAAUGGGAGAAGAGGUAGGAGGAGGAAGGGAGAGGGAAAACAGGUCACCCAAGUGGUGUCAUUUGGUUGAAAGCUCCAGACUGGGAAAAAUUUUGCAUACUAACAUCUGAAACAGGUGAUUCUGGGCUCAUUUUGUGACCAUAAGUUGCUGUGUCGGACCUUGUGCUCCUGAGCCUUCUCAGAUGUGUAGCCAGGAGGGAUCUGGCUGUGUGUGAUUUUUUUUUUCUACAUCUUUCAGCAAAAUCAGAGGUUCUAAUGCAAAAGGCAUCAGGGAUAGCAUAGGGAAUUGUGACACUCCCUGUAGGACUUUUCCAUAAACCAAUAAAUGGAUUACACUGAUCUUUUUAGUUUUUUCA
rnacentral:lncRNA from 1 species